rnacentral:rRNA from 1 species
AACGAACGCUGGCGGCAGGCUUAACACAUGCAAGUCGAACGGUUGUAGCAAUACAGCAGUGGCAGACGGGUGAGUAACACGUGGGAACCUUCCUAGGGGUACGGAACAACUCAGGGAAACUUGAGCUAAUACCGUAUACGUCCGUGAGGAGAAAGAUUUAUCGCCCCUAGACGGGCCCGCGUCGGAUUAGCUAGUUGGUGGGGUAACGGCCUACCAAGGCGACGAUCCGUAGCUGAUCUUAGAGGAUGAUCAGCCACACUGGGACUGAGACACGGCCCAGACUCCUACGGGAGGCAGCAGUGGGGAAUCUUGGACAAUGGGCGCAAGCCUGAUCCAGCCAUGCCGCGUGAGUGAAGAAGGUCUUCGGAUUGUAAAGCUCUUUUACCAGGGACGAUAAUGACGGUACCUGGAGAAUAAGCCCCGGCAAACUCCGUGCCAGCAGCCGCAGUAACAC